rnacentral:rRNA from 1 species
GAUGAAUGCUGGCGGCGUGCCUAACACAUGCAAGUCGAGCGGCAGCGAGGGGUGCUUGCACCCUGUCGGCGAGCGGCGAACGGCUGAGUAACGCGUAGGAAUUUGCCCCAAAGUGAGGAAUAACUGCCCGAAAGGGUAGCUAAUGCCGCAUAUGGUCUUCGGAUUAAAGGAUUUAUCCGCUUUGGGAGAAGCCUGCGUUGGAUUAGGUUGUUGGUAGGGUAAUGGCCUACCAAGCCGACGAUCCAUAGCUGGUCUGAGAGGAUGAUCAGCCAGACUGGAACUGAGACACGGUCCAGACUCCUACGGGAGGCAGCAGUGAGGAAUCUUCCACAAUGGGCGAAAGCCUGAUGGAGCAACGCCGCGUGAAGGAUGAAGGCCUUCGGGUUGUAAACUUCUUUUAUGAGUGAAGAAUAUGACGGUAACUCAUGAAUAAGCGCCGGCUAACUACGUG